GUUGCAGUUAAAGCUCGUAGUUGACCUUGGGCCCUGUGCCUGCCGGUCCGCCUCACCGCGAGUACUGGUCCGGAUGGGCCCUUUCUCUUCUGGGGAAUCCCAUACCCUUCACUGGCUGUGGCGGGGAACCAGGACUUUUACUGUGAAAAAAUUAGAGUGUUCCAAGCAGGCCUUUGCUCGAAUACAUUAGCAUGGAAUAAUAAAAUAGGACGUGUGGUUCUAUUUUGUUGGUUUCUAGGACCGCCGUAAUGAUUAAUAGGGAUAGUCGGGGGCGUCAGUAUUCAACUGUCAGAGGUGAAAUUCUUGGAUUUGCUGAAGACUAACUACUGCGAAAGCAUUCGCCAAGGAUGUUUUCAUUAAUCAGGGAACGAAAGUUAGGGGAUCGAAACACGAUCAUAUACCGUCGUACUCUUAACCAUAAACUAUGCCGACUAGGGAUCGACGGGGGGUUUCUAUGAUGACCCGCUCGCCACCUUACGAUAAAUCUGCUUUUUUGGGUUCUGGGAGGGAGUAUGGUCGCAAGGCUGAUACUUAAAGAGAUUGACGGAAGGCCACCAGAGUGCGUGGAGCCUGCUUGCUUUGACUCACUCCACACGAAACACACUCAGCCCGUACACACUAAAGAUUGAUUGACAGAUAGCUCUCUCUUUCUUGAUCUUUUGGAGGGGGGUGCAUGGUUCGUUCUUGGUGGGGUGAGUGAUUUGUCUUGCUUAAUUGCAAUAACGAACCAUACCUCUGCUAUAAAAUCCCCCAUGGCUGCGUCAGCGCGCUGGCUUGCUUCUUAGGGACGAUCUAGCUGCAUCCAGCGAUAGGAUGACGUAACAAUAACACGGUCGAUGAUCGCUCUUUAGUUGUUGUGGGCGGCACGCUGCUACGACUGAGCG
rnacentral:rRNA from 1 species